AUCAUACAUUAAGGACGUUUCACAAAGGUUAGUGUCAUAGAUUGAGUCAUGAAUUAAAUGUGCUUAGUUUAAUAUAUUUCCCAGAAAUUAGGAAUAGGAACUAGAUCUUGCGCAUGUAAGAACUAUAUUUUAAAAUCUAAAGCAUAAGUGCAUGCAAAGCUUGCCACCAUGGGUAUUCAAGGUGCCACUCUUAUUCUAAUAUUCAGAUCUUCAGAUGUGACUUUGGUUGCUCCUGAAAUGUAUGUUUAUGGGAUUUUCACCUGUUUUUAAAGCAGAAUGAUAUAUGAUUACAUGCUAAAAUGUAAUAGGAGAUGAUUUGAUGUAUAGAGUAUAGACUGUGUUUAAAUCUCUAACCUGAUGACAAAGAGAAAAAAGGUCCAUGUUGACAUUAAAAACAAGAGCAUUUGUUACUCUUGUAUUCAAUCUUACAUUGAGUGUUUUGGGAAUAAUCUGAUAGCCAGUUAUUCUCCAAAAAUAACUGAACAAUGCCAACAAGCAGUUAUGACCCAUAUAUGGGUCAUAACUGCUU